rnacentral:rRNA from 1 species
UCUUUAUAUUAAUUUAUUAAAUUAAUUUAUAUUUAAUUAAUAUUUAAUUGGGGUGAUUUUAAAAUUUAUAAAACUUUUAAUUUAUUUAUUCAUUAAUUUUUGUAUAUGUUUAGAUCAAUAUUUUAAAAUUAUAAAAUUAGAUUAAGA